rnacentral:misc_RNA from 1 species
ACCCUUGUGGAGGAGGACGCCGAAGGUGGGGCUAAUGACUGGGGUGAAGUCGUAACAAGGUAGCCGUACCGGAAGGUGCGGCUGGAUCACCUCCUAACAGGGAGACAACAAAAUGUUUAAUAUUAUUAUUUUGUCACCUUAGGUCGAUCGGUAUCUCACGUUCUUAAUUUAUUAAGAAUUUCAUUUCCUAAGUUUUUCUAGGUCACACCCAUUAUUUUUCCUGGGCCAUUAGCUCAGGUGGUUAGAGCGCACCCCUGAUAAGGGUGAGGUCCCUGGUUCAAGUCCAGGAUGGCCCAUAUCUCUAUGUUGGGGGUAUAGCUCAGUUGGUAGAGCGCCUGCUUUGCAAGCAGGAUGUCAGCGGUUCGAGUCCGCUUACCUCCACUGAUUACCACCUCUUCCAUAACCGGUAGAAAGGAAAUUUUUUGAGUUGUGAUCAUUAUUCUGAACGAAUCUAGCUUCCUAAUGAAAUCAUUAAGAUGCUGGACUCAUUGAAUUAAUUUCAUUGUUUUCAGAGAACCUUGACAACUGCAUAGAUUAUUUUUAAAGACAAUAAGCAUCUUUAAUGAUGCAGAUUUAUUAUUUGUGCGAAUGCAUUAAUAACAAUUCUAUUAAGCUGAUGCUUCAAUUAUUGAAGUUAUUGGUCAAGCUACAAAGGGCUCACGGAGGAUACCUAGGCACACAGAGGC